CAGCCUGACACCAUCAGACCAACUCUUAUUGAUAUGAUGAAGCAUUACUUGCAUACCUCACGGAAGGCGGACUGUCCUGUAACACCUUCACAACAAGGUAAGUCUUUGUAGUCUGUGUUUACAGACAUGAUUGUACAAAACACAGCCUGACACCAUCAGAUCAGUCCCUUAUUGAUAUGAUGCAGCAUUACUUGCAUACCUCACGGAAAGCGGACUGUCCUGUAACACCUUCACAGCAUGGUCAGUACAAAAACCUUUUCUGACAUCUUUUUGUAAAUCAAUGAGACAGUAGUUAACCAAAUAAAUGUUAAAAUUGCGUGAAUCAUUAAAGAAACACAUUAGGAUAAAAUACAACAAUUAAAAACAAUAUGAUUAAAAUCCUAAAGGAGUGGUUCUGUGUGCGUCCUAUGAAAAGCGUAUUUAGCAAUUCAUAAACCCCCCCGCAUGCAAAUCCACAUUCCAUUUAAAUUGUCAAAAUUAGAAAUAGGAAUCAAUACAUUUCUGAUCAGGUGACUAUGCUGGUAAGUGGAGAGGUAAGAUUGUGACAACAUUUAUCAAUUUUUCAAAUGAAUGAAUAUAACGAUAUUUUAUAAGUUUAUAUUAGUUUUUAAUACAAACACAUUUAUUCUAUCAAUGCAAAAGAGUAUUUGGGUGAUUAUUUAACUCCCACAUUAAAAGUCUCUUCGACGAUGUUUGCAUGAAAGAAUAUAUUUUUACGAUAGCCUAAUUAUAAACACGUUAGUGGCAAGGCGUUCGGUAUUUUCCUCAGCAUAUAAGAUGCACCAGACUGAUAUGUUUUGUCAUUCAUCUUUAUUAUGGGUUUAACUAUGAUGAGUUUUAUUCAUACAACAAAUUUAAAACAUUUAAUUUAUAUUUAAGAUAUUGGUGUUACAUAUGUCAGAUGGGGGAAGAAAACAUGCCCUGGAAGUACAGAUAUUGUGUAUGCAGGUAUUUAUAGUUCUGUUUAUUAUAAGUUUUUAUUAUUUAUAUUAUGAUUAUUACUAAUACUAAUACUAACAAAAUCAUAUUAUUAUUAUCAUUUUUCUUCUAAUAUAAUCUAAUUCCAUACAGUAGACUUGGUAUUACUUGAAAAAGUUUUUUUUGUACAAUUUGGUUUUAGAUUGUAGUUGAAUCUAAAGACAUGACAAGGCUAGUGUCUAGAUAACGUUGGAAAAAUAGAAAGAGACCAUUUUCAAAAUAAAACAUGUGCUAAUACAUGUGUAUCAAUCUAUAAUACAGAACCAAAGUCCAAUGUAUUAUCUUUAUUACUGGAAUAUCAAUACAUAAAUUUUAAAACAUUGCUUUGUGAUAUCUUUGUCAUUAUUAUGUAUAUGUAGAUAAUCUGAAGAAUGACAUUUGUUAUAAGAUAAUAACUAUAAACUUAUUCAGGACAGUCUGGAGGUAACUAUUAUACUAACAAAGGAGGAGGUUCCAACUACCUCUGUUUACCCAGUGAUCCUGAAAAUGGUAAACCAUACUCCUAUGCUAAUGAUGGUUUAUAUGGUGCAGAGUACCAGAUACAAUCCAGCACAAAACCAUCCGGUUUACCUGCUAGUUUGAGCGAAAAGGAGGUUCCAUGUGCAGUAUGCAGGAGGAAAGGGAAAGUUUCUGUGUUAAUGAUACCAGGUAGUUCCAUUAUUAAUAUUUGUUAACACCAUUAUUUAGAAAAGAAUAAUAAAUAUUUUAUAAAAUAAUUGGUACAUUAUUUAGCUAUAUCGUCAUAUCAUUUUGUUGAUUGUAAGGUUCAACAUGAAAUAAUCUUGAAUGCUACGGCUUAACAUAAUGUUCUUUAAAUCACAAUCAUUAUUUCCAAGUAUAAAGUAUUAGUUCGUUUGAUAUAGAAAUUGCAUAUUUUUACAUUUUAUUUUUAUUUAGGAAAAAAGUCCUGUUACAAUGGAUGGCAAUCCGAGUACAAUGGCUUCUUGAUGAGUGAAAAUAAAGGAUAUAACAUUAAAGAAUAUAUAUGUUUGGACGGAGAGGCCGAACCAUUGGAUAAUCGGUCCUCAAACGAAGAUGGUGCUUUGUUAUAUCCCGUCAGAGCGAAAUGUGGUAGUCUAAGAUGUCCCCCAUACACAGAUAACACUGAAGUUCUUUGUACCGUUUGUAC
rnacentral:lncRNA from 1 species